CUCUCUCUCUCUAACCCGUCUCUGUGAAGCUAGUUGUCUUGUUAAUAGUAGAUUUCCACAAAUCUCCCUCAGUCAUUGCCAAGCUGAUUUGGAAGCUCACCCCCUAGCCAAAUCUGAAUUUUGGCAGGCUUUGUAAUUCGUUUUUCUAUCAACUUUUACCUAAGUCUACUUGUCUCUUUUCAAUAAUUUUGUUACACACACACAUAUAGCUAUUUUAUGUUUCAAAUAUGUGACUUGAUAUGAUUUUUUAAUUUUAGGAUCCAGCAAUUGUUGUUGUAAAUAAACCCCUUGGAAUGCUCGUACAGGAUGGCAUCGGCAUCUAUGGUUCAGUUUCGAUGAAGGAGAUCUAUGGUUUGGCUUUCGGCUUGAGGACAGAGAGAGAGAGAGCCGAUGGAGGAGAAUGAGACGUACAUGGGAUUAAUUUCCUAGACACAAUUCUAUUGUAAACUUCUUAACAAAUACGCGUGUCAAACAAAUAUUGGUGGGUGAAAAUUUGAGGUAGUCACCUUCACAA